CAAUAACUUAGAGGUAGAUACAUGUAGUUAUUAACAUCGACUAAAACAACAAGCAUAUAUAUAUAUAAACCAACAUAUAACAGUAUCAAAUCAUUAAACCUAGGUGGUGAUGUGGAUAAGGAAAGAAAUGUACAUAAAAAUAAUUCCGGUACAUGAUGUACCAAUUUUUUGAUAAUCAACCUAGUCUUCUAAAAUUGGAAGCCAGGGGUCCCAGCA
rnacentral:lncRNA from 1 species